rnacentral:rRNA from 1 species
GAUGAACGCUAGCUACAGGCUUAACACAUGCAAGUCGAGGGGCAGCAUUGGAGUAGCAAUACUUCAGAUGGCGACCGGCGCACGGGUGAGUAACACGUAUCCAACCUGCCGCUUACUCGGGGAUAGCCUUUCGAAAGAAAGAUUAAUACCCGAUGGUAUAAAGAGUUCGCAUGUUCUCUUUAUUAAAGAAUUUCGGUAAGCGAUGGGGAUGCGUUCCAUUAGAUAGUUGGCGGGGUAACGGCCCACCAAGUCUACGAUGGAUAGGGGUUCUGAGAGGAAGGUCCCACACAUUGGAACUGAGACACGGUCCAAACUCCUACGGGAGGCAGCAGUGAGGAAUAUUGGUCAAUGGACGUGAGUCUGAACCAGCCAAGUAGCGUGAAGGAUGACUGCCCUAUGGGUUGUAAACUUCUUUUAUAAGGGAAUAAAGUGAGGGACGUGUCCCUUUUUGUAUGUACCUUAUGAAUAAGGAUCGGCUAACUCCGUGCCAGCAGCCGCAGUAAAAC